rnacentral:lncRNA from 1 species
ACUCCUGGGAGACAGCUCCGCCGCCAGGAGGCUCCCAAGCGAGGUCGACCUCUGCAGCUCUCCACCUUCACUCACCGGGGACACUGGGCACCUAGGAAGCUGACAACCGCGACAUGGCAUCUUGUCGCCCAUGAAAAAGACGGAGAUGGACAAGUCGCCAUUCAACAGCCCCUCGCCCCAGGACUCGCCGCGCCUGUGCAGCUUCACGCAGCACCACUAGCCCGUGAUCGCCGUGCACAGCCGCAUCGUCCGGAGUCCGCACCCGUCCUCCGCCCUGCACUUCCCCACCACGUCCAUCCUGCAGCAGAUGGCGUCCACCUACUUCCCGCACACGGCCAUCCGCUACCCGCCGCAUCUCAACCCUCAGGACCCGCUCAAAGAUCUCAUGUCGCUGGCCUGCGACCCGGCCAGCCAGCAGCCUGGACCUGUAAAGUAAUAAAUAAAAUAGCUCCAAUUAUACCAAGCACCUGCAUAUGUUUCUAACUCUACCGUUUGAGAUUGUGUUUGCUCAUCUUGAGAUGAAGAUAAAGAAACAUGUCUCCCCCAAAUCUUCCUCUUAUUUCAACUCACUCCAAUCUUCUUAGUAUAUUUGAAUGGUAAUGGAAAUGUGUUGACUUUUGGAGUUCUGUACUUGUCCUUCCAUUUUCUACAAGAUGUGUCCAUUAUGUAUCUGUUGUCUUUUUUGUUCCAUUACUAAAUUUGUGGAAUUUUGGUAUGAAAUAUGCAGUGAAACUCUCAAAGAAAAUAGUAUAUAAGGCAUUACAAUUACUAUAAAAUCAUCAAAGAUUUUUC